rnacentral:rRNA from 1 species
CAGCCGCCACGGGAAUACGUAGGGUGCGAGCGUUAAUCGGAAUUACUGGGCGUAAAGCGUGCGCAGGCGGCUAUAUAAGACAGAUGUGAGAUCCCCGGGCUCAACCUGGGACCUGCAUUUGUGACUGUAUAGCUAGAGUACGGUAGAGGGGGAUGGAAUUCCGCGUGUAGCAGUGAAAUGCGUAGAUAUGCGGAAGAACACCAGUGGCGAAGGCGGCUCACUGGACCGACACUGACGCUGAGGCGCGAAAGCGUGGGGAGCAAACAGGAUUAGAUACCCCCGUAGUCCCUGUCUCUUAUAC